ACAGCUUUUCCCCCCGUAUUCAGUUUAUAUUUGGCCCCAGUAUUGUGCCGAGUUGGGUUGGGUUGUUCUGCUGGUCAGUUUAUGUUUUAGCAUUUUGGUAUGUUUUAGUAUUUUAAUAAACUAUAUUGCCAAAAGUGUCCUCCACUGGUCUUCACUGCCGUGUUUAGUCAUGUGAGAUUUGGAUGGAGCAGCUCAGCUCUCUCCAUUCCAUGAGUCCUCUACACUGUUGUUGAUCUAAUCUGAAGCUACAUGAAGUUUGGAGGUGUGUAAUGAUGAACUCUGAAGCUACAUGAAGUUUGGAGGCGUGUAGUGAUGAACUCUGAAGCUACAUGAAGUUUGGAGGCGUGUAGUGAUGAACUCUGAAGCUACAUGAAGUUUGGAGGUGUGUAGUGAUGAACUCUGAAGCUACAUGAAGUUUGGAGGUGUGUAGUGAUGAUCUAAUCUGAAGCUACAUGAAGUUUGGAGGUGUGUAGUGAUGAUCUAAUCUGAAGCUACAUGAAGUUUGGAGGUGUGUAGUGAUGAACUCUGAAGCUACAUGAAGUUUGGAGGUGUGUAGUGAUGAACUCUGAAGCUACAUGAAGUUUGGAGGUGUGUAGUGAUGAACUCUGAAGCUACAUGAAGUUUGGAGGUGUGUAGUGAUGAACUCUGAAGCUACAUGAAGUUUGGAGGUGUGUAGUGAUGAUGAACUCUGAAGCUACAUGAAGUUUGGAGGUGUGUAGUGAUGAACUCUGAAGCUACAUGAAGUUUGGAGGUGUGUAGUGAUGAACUCUGAAGCUACAUGAAGUUUGGAGGUAUGUAGUGAUGAACUCUGAAGCUACAUGAAGUUUGGAGGUGUGUAGUGAUGAACUCUGAAGCUACAUGAAGUUUAGAGGUGUGUAGUGAUGAACUCUGAAGCUACAUGAAGUUUGGAGGUGCGUAGUGAUGUAGUGACUCUGCAGAAAGUUGGUGAACUCUGUGCACUAUGCUCCUCAGCAUCCGCUGGCCCACUCUGUUAUUUUACACUGAUGGAGCACAGAGUCGCUGUCGUUCCCAGUCUCUGUCACUGUGUUAUAAUAUCACUGACAGUUGGCUGUGGAAUAUUUAGUAGUGAGUAGAGAAAUUUCAUGACUGGACUUGUUGUACAGGUGCUGCAUCCUAUCACUGUACCACAGUGCUGGAGUUCACUGAGCUCCUGAGAGCCUGAGACCCAUUUUUUCACUAAUGUUUGUAGAAGCAGUCCCAGCAUGCCUAGCUGCUGCUAAUUUAUAGUGUCCAGUUCACCUGAUUGACAUGUUUUUGGACUGUGGGAAGAAACCGGAGUCCCCAGAAAUUCCCACACAGACACAGGGAGAACUUAAACUUUAAAAUUUUUAAACUUUCUUUUACUGUUCAUUGGUUCUUUCCUUUAUUGUUUUUAGUUACUGCUUACAUAUAUUUUACAGUUUUAUUUACUUUAUUUGCUCUUUGUCUUUUUAAGGCUUUUAUAAUGAUAAGAAUUAUGUUUAUUAAUCUAUAUUAUUUUGAUACACUGUAAACAAGGUCCACCCUCAGUUGUACUCAGAGUUUAAAUAAAGGUUGAUUGAUCGAGUGAGUUUAUGAUGAGGGUCAUUAAUAAUUGAGGCUUGAGUUUCUAAGAGAAACAGGGAAAAAGAGGAGGUGGAUGUUGGGUUUGUGGGGGUUGGUAAACUUGCCAAAACCAAUGCGGCCUGAAGAUGAAUCAUGAGCUUUAAAAACGUAAGACGAUCUCCGUCCCGUGGGACUGGAUAAACGGGGUCUUGAAUAAGGGGGGUGUGGGGGUGGGGUGUCAAAUGGUCAAAGUUCUUUUGGGUGAAACUCUAAAACACUCUUCUCAU